UAGGGAAUCUUCCACAAUGGGCGAAAGCCUGAUGGAGCAACGCCGCGUGCGUGAUGAAGGCUUUCGGGUCGUAAAGCACUGUUGUAUGGGAAGAACAGCUAGAAUAGGAAAUGAUUUUAGUUUGACGGUACCAUACCAGAAAGGGACGGCUAAAUACGUGCCAGCAGCCGCGGUAAUACGUAUGUCCCGAGCGUUAUCCGGAUUUAUUGGGCGUAAAGCGAGCGCAGACGGUUUAUUAAGUCUGAUGUGAAAGCCCGGAGCUCAACUCCGGAAUGGCAUUGGAAACUGGUUAACUUGAGUGCAGUAGAGGUAAGUGGAACUCCAUGUGUAGCGGUGGAAUGCGUAGAUAUAUGGAAGAACACCAGUGGCGAAGGCGGCUUACUGGACUGCAACUGACGUUGAGGCUCGAAAGUGUGGGUAGCAAACAGG
rnacentral:rRNA from 1 species